AUUGAACGCUGGCGGCAUGCCUUACACAUGCAAGUCGAACGGUAACAGGUCUUCGGAUGCUGUCGAGUGGCGAACGGGUGAGUAAUACAUCGGAACGUGCCCGAUCGUGGGGGAUAACGAAGCGCAAGCUUUGCUAAUACCGCAUAAGAUCUACGGAUGAAAGCAGGGGACCGCAAGGCCUUUCGCGAACGGAGCGGCCGAUGGCAGAUUAGGUAGUUGGUGGGAUAAAAGCUUACCAAGCCGACGAUCUGUAGCUGGUCUGAGAGGACGACCAGCCACACUGGGACUGAGAAACGGCCCAGACUCCUACGGGAGGCAGCAGUGGGGAAUUUUGGACAAUGGGCGAAAGCCUGAUCCAGCCAUGCCGCGUGCAGGAUGAAGGCCUUCGGGUUGUAAAAUGCUUUUGUACGGAACGAAAAGACUCUGGUUAAUACCUGGGGUCCAUGACGGUACCGUAAGAAUAAGCACCGGCUAACUACGUG
rnacentral:rRNA from 1 species